GAAGAUAAGAUGAAAAAGUAAAUGACGUCUAAAUCUUUAUGACUCUUACAUAAUGGGCUGUUAAUGUAAUACAAUAGAAAUUUACAAAAAGAAGCUACUUUAUAAAACGUGGCAAAUCUAUAAAAAUUUUUUUAGUUCGGAUUAUAAUUUGCAACUCAGUUAUAUGAAGUAGGAAUGAAUAGUAAUGAUUUGAAAGUAGAGAAUCGUGAACCAAAAUAAACUUUUUUUAUACUUAUCGCCCAUCACCUCGUGAGAGAUAACUCGACUAAAAUCUUGU
rnacentral:rRNA from 1 species